GCAGACGCACUCUGCACCUGCCGCAGCCACUGGCAGGUGCUUUUUCCGUCUGCCAGAGAAGCCUUCCGGGUGCCGUGGCCACUUCGACUCCACCUGUCGGGUGAUGCGGCUGCUCCGGGGACACAGGG
rnacentral:snoRNA from 13 species